GAUGAACGCUGGCGGCGUGCCUAAUACAUGCAAGUCGAGCGAACGGACGAGAAGCUUGCUUCUCUGAUGUUAGCGGCGGACGGGUGAGUAACACGUGGAUAACCUACCUAUAAGACUGGGAUAACUUCGGGAAACCGGAGCUAAUACCGGAUAAUAUUUUGAACCGCAUGGUUCAAAAGUGAAAGACGGUCUUGCUGUCACUUAUAGAUGGAUCCGCGCUGCAUUAGCUAGUUGGUAAGGUAACGGCUUACCAAGGCAACGAUGCAUAGCCGACCUGAGAGGGUGAACGGCCACACUGGAACUGAGACACGGUCCAGACUCCUACGGGAGGCAGCAGUAGGGAAUCUUCCGCAAUGGGCGAAAGCCUGACGGAGCAACGCCGCGUGAGUGAUGAAGGUCUUCGGAUCGUAAAACUCUGUUAUUAGGGAAGAACAUAUGCGUAAGUAACUGUGCACAUCUUGACGGUACCUAAUCAGAAAGCCACGGCUAACUACGUG
rnacentral:rRNA from 1 species